AGAAGUAGUGAUACAGAUGAUAGUGGCAUUGCAAACACUGCCAUAACCUUUGUUUUCCUGUUCCUCAUCACCUUGUUCUACAGCAUAGGGGCUACUUUUGUUAAGGUGAAAUGAUUCCUUUAAGGACAUGCAAGAUCUUUCAGAAAAACAGCGCUUUUCUUUUUUCAUUAUUGUAAAUAUGUGAUUGUGAUGUUUGUUUUUAAGUUUGUUUUUCCUUUAAUAAAAGAAAGAAACCAA